UUUAUACAACAGAGUAUCCAACCAGGGUCAAACACGAGUCUUAGUCCCAACAAAGAAAGAUAACAAAACAUGGCUGUUUUGUUUUCAAAAGAAGAAGGUUUCCCAAGUUUUGUCGAGGUCGCAGGCAAGACCAUUUCUUGUCCUUGUCUAUAAAAAAAUUGAGCUGUAAACAACUCUCUAAACCCUAAUCGAGCAGCCAAAUCAGAAAGAAUUAAUGUUGAGCUACAGAGGCACGCUCAAAAUAGUGUGUAGAUUUCAGCCAAAGGCAUAAAAAUAUCACAUCCAGGAGGGCAAACCAUAAAAAAGCUCACACCCAGAAGACUUCCGGAGCAGGCAUUGUGAUCAGAGUCACACCCACUUCCAGAUCUGAAGAAAAAUGGUAAGCAAAUUAGAGUCUUCAAAACAGUACUAUGCAACGAGUACUCUCAUCAUAGGAUAUGCCUUGUGCUCUAGCCUUCUUGCGGUUAUAAAUAAGUAUGCAAUUACCAAGUUCAACUAUCCAGGCCUUCUGACUGCCCUGCAGUAUUUGACCAGUGUAAUAGGUGUUUGGGUUUUUGGUAAAUUGGGUUUGUUGGUUCAUGAUCCAUUUGUGUGGGACACUGCUAAGAAAUUCCUGCCUGCUGCUUUUGUUUUUUUCUUGGCAAUUUUCACGAAUACUAGCCUUCUCAAGCAUGCCAAUGUGGAUACGUUUAUCAUGUUCAGAUCUUUAACCCCACUUCUAGUAGCAAUUGCUGAUACUGCAUUUAGAAAGCAGCCCUGGCCUAGUAAGUAUACCUUCAUAAGCUUGUUGAUCAUAUUGGGUGGUGCAGCUGGGUAUGUCGCAACUGAUUCUGCAUUUACGUUGACUGCCUAUUCAUGGGCUUUCGCUUAUUUGAUCACUAUUACGACAGAGAUGGUUUACAUUAAGCACAUGGUUACCAAUCUAGGGUUGAAUACAUGGGGGUUUGUGAUUUAUAACAAUUUGCUGUCUUUGAUGAUGGCACCCGUGUUCUGGUUCUUGACUGGGGAGUAUGCAGAGGUUAUUUCUGCUGCAAUUGAUGCUGGUACCAGUGGCAUGUUGAAAUUAGAUACAAUAUUUGCAGUUGGAUUAUCCUGUGUUUUUGGGUUGGCUAUUAGUUUUUUUGGAUUUGCGGCUAGAAAGGCUGUUUCUGCAACUGCAUUUACUGUGACAGGGGUAGUGAACAAAUUUCUAACUGUGGUUAUCAAUGUGCUGAUCUGGGACAAGCAUGCCAGUGCUGUUGGCCUUGUCUUCCUUCUCAUGACUAUUGUGGGUGGCGUUGUUUACCAACAAUCUGUGACAAAGGCCCCUGUUCCUCAAACAGAGAGUGGGAGCAGUAACAAACUGGAGGUCCAAAAGGGUCAUGAAGAAGAAUCUGAUUUGGAUGAUGAGGAAAAAGCUCUCCUUAGAAGGUCAUGAGGCUGGAUGCUGAUUUGAUGUCAUAGACAAACCAAGUAGUGCAUUUUCAACAAGCUGAUUUUCUUAUCAAAAAUCAGCAGAAACAAUUUAUGGUUUAAAGCUGUAAAUCAUAAGUGUUCGUUGCCUGCCCUACGACUUCUUUAUGGUUUAAAGCUGUAGUACGACUUCUUUUAGGAGGUUCUAUUUACAAGGACGCAGCUAAUCUGGCUCCAAAAUUGCGAUGUCGUACAAUGCAAAACUUUUGUGUUAUGCAGACACAAAAAUUACAGAAUAGGCUCAGAAUGGCUACGGGGCUCAGUAGAAGCGCUGUGGCUACUUGACGGUAUAACACGAAGGUUAUUUUCGGUGUAUGGCAAUGUAGUCGGGGCCUCUUUGGAGCCAGAAUAGCCACAGCCUAUUUACAACAGGGACUUGAGGUGGUCACUGAGCACGGGUGGUUCGUUACAAGUUUUUUAAAAUGCUUAAUGCUUGGCUUUUUAUAUUUGGGCUCCACUGUUCUUUAUUGAUCUAUUUUAUUAAAUAUGGCAUGAAAUUGACUAA